rnacentral:rRNA from 1 species
GGGUUGUGAGGUUAAGCGACUAAGCGUACACGGUGGAUGCCCUGGCAGUCAGAGGCGAUGAAGGGCGUGCUAAUCUGCGAUAAGCGCCGGUAAGGUGAUAUGAACCGUUAUAACCGGCGAUACCCGAAUGGGGAAACCCAGUGUGAUUCGUCACACUAUCAUUAACUGAAUCCAUAGGUUAAUGAGGCGAACCGGGGGAACUGAAACAUCUAAGUACCCCGAGGAAAAGAAAUCAACCGAGAUUCCCCCAGUAGCGGCGAGCGAACGGGGAGGAGCCCAGAGCCUGAAUCAGCAUGUGUGUUAGUGGAAGCGUCUGGAAAGGCGCGCGAUACAGGGUGACAGCCCCGUACACAAAAGCGCAUGUGCUGUGAGCUCGAUGAGUAGGGCGGGACACGUGGUAUCCUGUCUGAAUAUGGGGGGACCAUCCUCCAAGGCUAAAUACUCCUGACUGACCGAUAGUGAACCAGUACCGUGAGGGAAAGGCGAAAAGAACCCCGGCGAGGGGAGUGAAAAAGAACCUGAAACCGUGUACGUACAAGCAGUGGGAGCCUCUUUUAUGGGGUGACUGCGUACCUUUUGUAUAAUGGGUCAGCGACUUAUAUUCUGUAGCAAGGUUAACCGUAUAGGGGAGCCGGAGGGAAACCGAGUCUUAAUUGGGCGUUAAGUUGCAGGGUAUAGACCCGAAACCCGGUGAUCUAGCCAUGGGCAGGUUGAAGGUUGGGUAACACUAACUGGAGGACCGAACCGACUAAUGUUGAAAAAUUAGCGGAUGACCUGUGGCUGGGGGUGAAAGGCCAAUCAAACCGGGAGAUAGCUGGUUCUCCCCGAAAGCUAUUUAGGUAGCGCCUCGUGAAUUCAUCUCCGGGGGUAGAGCACUGUUUCGGCUAGGGGGCCAUCCCGGCUUACCAACCCGAUGCAAACUGCGAAUACCGGAGAAUGUUAUCACGGGAGACACACGGCGGGUGCUAACGUCCGUCGUGAAGAGGGAAACAACCCAGACCGCCAGCUAAGGUCCCAAAGUCAUGGUUAAGUGGGAAACGAUGUGGGAAGGCCCAGACAGCCAGGAUGUUGGCUUAGAAGCAGCCAUCAUUUAAAGAAAGCGUAAUAGCUCACUGGUCGAGUCGGCCUGCGCGGAAGAUGUAACGGGGCUAAACCAU